AUGAAGUGCCUGAAAAAGGAGAAUUUUGAUAGAAUUCCUCAUGUGGCCCCCCCCACCUUCAUA
rnacentral:tRNA from 1 species